GCGAACGCUGGCGGCGUGCUUAACACAUGCCAGUCGAACGGAAAGGCCCUGCUUUUGUGGGGUGCUCGAGUGGCGAACGGGUGAGUAACACGUGAGUAACCUGCCCUUGACUUUGGGAUAACUUCAGGAAACUGGGGCUAAUACCGGAUAGGAGCUCCUGCUGCAUGGUGGGGGUUGGAAAGUUUCGGCGGUUGGGGAUGGACUCGCGGCUUAUCAGCUUGUUGGUGGGGUAGUGGCUUACCAAGGCUUUGACGGGUAGCCGGCCUGAGAGGGUGACCGGCCACAUUGGGACUGAGAUACGGCCCAGACUCCUACGGGAGGCAGCAGUGGGGAAUAUUGCACAAUGGGCGGAAGCCUGAUGCAGCAACGCAGCGUGCGGGAUGACGGCCUUCGGGUUGUAACCCGCUUUCGCCUGUGACGAAGCGUGAGUGACGGUAAUGGGUAAAGAAGCACCGGCUAACUACGUG
rnacentral:rRNA from 1 species